UCUUAAAUAGGCCCGUAUUUUUUUACUGUAUUUUCUUAUUUAUCAUCAAUAUUUGAGCUUUUUAGUGGUGUUUUUCGUACUCAGCUUUCAAAUUUACCCUAUGUACAUCUAUUUCCAGUCAUUUUGUCUUAAUUUUUUUACCAGUUAUCUUUCUCUCUCUUGCCUAUAGGAACUGUGAAAUGGUAAAUUCGUGAUUUUAAGGUAUAUUUAUCACAUUAAGUAACUCAGUUUAUUACAGGUGAUAUUUCCUUCAGUAACCAGCUUUUUUCCCAUCAAAACACCCCUAUUUUCUUUGUAAAAUAUCAAUUAUGGGGUAGGGCUUGGGACCCUUUUUCUGAAGAAAUUACCAGUAUUAUUGGUUAUCAGUGGAAUUUUCUUCAUCGUUAACUAUGAAGGCUGGAAUAAGAACAUGUUCCUGUGUUAAACAACCCUAUACACAUUCAGAUUCAGUUAUAUAUUCUUAGUUUAGUUAAAAUUUUCCUUCGCUCUGAAGCAUAGGGUAAAAUGGAGUUUUGUUAAUUUAAACUAAAAUUUGAAUUGUUUUAAUUG